rnacentral:misc_RNA from 1 species
AGCCACUUGAGGUUUCGCAGACCCCAGAAUACGGCGAAAAGCGUAAUAGUUGACCUUCGUCUUCUUCGCUGAAAGCCAUUUCUGUCAAAGUUUGCUGAAAUCUUGUUAAGUGAUUGCAGGAAAAAACUUUUUAAAACUAAUUUAUUUUAGUUUUUUAUUUUCUUGAUCUGAAAUCAGGUAGGAUUACCCGCUGAACUUAA